rnacentral:rRNA from 1 species
UGGGGAAUCUUGGACAAUGGGGGCAACCCUGAUCCAGCCAUGCCGCGUGAGUGAUGAAGGCCUUAGGGUCGUAAAGCUCUUUCGCCUGUGAAGAUAAUGACGGUAGCAGGUAAAGAAACCCCGGCUAAUUCCGUGCCAGCAGCCGCGGUAAUACGGAGGGGGUUAGCGUUGUUCGGAAUUACUGGGCGUAAAGCGCACGUAGGCGGACCAGAAAGUUGGGGGUGAAAUCCCGGGGGCUCAACCCCGGAACUGCCUCCAAAACUAUUGGUCUAGAGUUCGAGAGAGGUGAGUGGAAUUCCAAGUGUAGAGGUGAAAUUCGUAGAUAUUUGGAGGAACACCAGUGGCGAAGGCGGCUCACUGGCUCGAUACUGACGCUGAGGUGCGAAAGUGUGGGGAGCAAACAGGAUUAGAUACCCUGGUAGUCCACACCGUAAAACGAUGAAUGCCAGUCGUCGGGUAGCAUGCUAUUCGGUGACACACCUAACGGAUUAAGCAUUCCGGCCU